GGAACAUCCUAUUAACGAGGAGAUGGUGUAGGGAGAGCAGUUUUAGGGAGAGAGAAGAGAAGGGGAAUAUUUUCCACACGGAGAAAAAGGAACAUCUGUCAAGAAAUAGGGAGUGAAGUGCAAGAUCUCCUGGAAGACAUUGAUCUUCUCUCUGUCACUAUAGACCUACCCAUCCCGUAGGCAAGAGGUCUUCCUCACCUGAAACAAGCAGAAUAGGAGUGGUUGGUGGCCAUGUUCAAAGUCCAUCCUUGACAUUUACUUCCACAAUGCAAGUAUUCAAGGUGUACAGCUUCCUGUGAGAACGUAAAAUGGCAGCUCUCUGUGGAGGCCUACCGGGGUGCCAAAGAUGAUGAUACAGCAAGAAGAUAACUGUCUAUAAACCAGGAAGCUGGUUCUCACCAGACACCAAAUUGGCUGAUGCCUUGAUCUUGGACUUCCCAGCCUCCAGAACUGUCCCUUUAAUGCCUUUGAAAAGAUCCAUUCUCCUGAGUCAUCCAAGAGGAUGGAGAACAGUGUGAGCUUUGAGCUGAACAGAAGACUCUCCCUCCUCUGCCUGCUGUGACUUUGAAGUAAUCUCUCAGAAUGAGCAUUUUUGGAAGAGUUGUUGCUCACAGGCCAAGCCCAGGGUUGUGGAAGAGGAUUUGCAAAGGGCAUCAGGAAAGAUGACUGAAAGUGUUCUUCAUUCCCCAGCAAGGGGGAACCCUAAUGGCCAGAAGGAACAUAGGAACCACAGCACAUGGCACAGAACAGGAAAUCAGCGCACUGCUGGGAAAGCAGCUCAAAGGGAUAUCGAUUCCUCAGCAAUGGGGAAAGCUGAUGGCCUGAAAGACAUAGGAACCACAGAACGUGGGCAGACUGGUGCCCGGACGGUUGCCCCAGGGCACCAUCACGAGUAAAGGGUGUAACCUGAGGGAGUCACAGUUCCCCAGUAAACAGGCAGGCCUGUAGCCCAAAAGAUCUUAGAAACCCCAGGGUUACAAGCUAGUAACCUCAGAAGCCCUCGGAGAACCAGCGUGGUGUAGGGAAGGGGGCUGAAAGUUCACCCCUUUCCCCAGCAGGGGUAAGGAAGGUGAGCUUAAAAGCCCUGGAACGCAAACACGAGGACAGGAUGGUACCCGGAUAGUUCUUCAGAAGCACCAGUGAGAGGCUACUACGGUAGCCUACAGCAGCCACAGUUCCUCAGGUCGCAGGCAAGAUUGUGGCCGAAAGAGUCGCCAAAACCUCAAUGCGAGAGUAAGCUAACGACUAUAUAGGUCCUCCUGAGAAUCACUGCACUACAGGGAAGGUGACUGAAAGUGCUCUAAGUUCCCCAGCAAAAUGUAAGACUGACAGACUGAAGUAUACCGGAACCCUAGCUCUAGGGGUAGCUGACGCCGGGAAAGUUACAAGAUGUACCAUCAUCAGGGCAUUAUGGUGGACAAAAAGAGCCAAGUUUCUCCCGGAACACCCACAGGCUUGUGGCCUAAAGUAUCCCAAGAGCCCUACCGUGUGGCUAGGUACUGGCGGGAAAGUGGAUGAAAAUUCUUUCCGUUUCCCUAGCCAGGGGGAAAGUGAAAGCUAGAGGGACCACCGGAACUUUAGCACUAGUGCCCGGAAGGUACCAUUCGCGAACCACUUUGAGGAAACUACGAUGAGCGAAAAGAGUUCCCCAGCAUGAAGGCAAGCAUUUGGACCAAAAAAUCCCAGAGAGGUGGACGAGAUAGUGACCAGAUAGGACCCUGGUGCGACAGCGCUCUGCAUGGGCAGUGGGCUGAAGUGCUCUUCAUUCCACAGCAAAGGGAAAGCCCAUGAUGGCCAGAAGAACAGUCAGAACCAUAGCACACGUGUUCACGCUGGUGCCCGGACGCUUUCUCCAGGUGGACCAGGGAGGUAAUAUGGUAAGCAAAAGGAGCCACACUUCCCUAGCUUGCGAGCGUGUUUGCGGUCCGCAGGAUAAAAGGAGAAGGCAAGCUAGUGAUAGGUGGGUUCCUGAAGCGGCAGUGCUAUUGAGUGAAGGUGGCCAAAAGUUCACUCAGUUAUCCUGCAAGCCAGAAGGCUAGUGGCCCAAAGGAGUCUGGAACCCAGGUUCUACAGUAAACUAGUCCCUGGAAGGCACCCAGAAGAACCCUCAGGGCACCACUGCAAGGCACGGACAGUGGCCAAACAGAACCAAGAUUUUCCAGGCUGUCAGCCUGAUACAUGCAAAGCCCCAAGUUUCCUUCGCGAGCAUGCAGAUAGAGUUCCACAUGAGACCCUGUAGCUGAGGCAGGGUGGUGGCCAGAAGACAUCCAGGACCGUGAAAGGACAGAUGGCAUGUAGACAAAAGAUUACGUGGGUCCGCACUACGAGGGUCAUAUGGUGGCCGAAAGGACUCUGGUUUCCCAAGCGUGGAGGCCGUCUGAUGGUCUGAAGGAACCCACAGCCAAGCGUGCACACAGACCUGCAGAUUGGCUAUACCUCAGCUGGGCUACGAUGGACUCCAAGUUCAAGGUGUCAGCCUGUAGAUGUGAUUCACUUCUGUUCCCACAUGUCUCCACGUUCUCCUUGGACCAGUGGCUACACAGGAUAGGCUGUUCUCAUGGCAACCAGAGGAAUGCAAGAGGCUAAACCCAGCUAUGCAAAUUUCUCUGUCUAGUACUUCCAGUACUAUGUUGAAAAGUGGUGAGAGUGGACAUCCUUGCCUUGUUCCUGAUCUUAGAGGAAAAGCUCUCAAGCUUUCACCAUUAAGGUGUCGCCUCUGUACCCGGAAGAGGAGGAUGACUCAAUCUCUAACCAGUAGAGCUGUACAGCAACUUAAAUCUCCAUUACAACUGGAAAAAAAAGGCAGAGAAGAAAAUUAGAUCUACGGAACCAUUUCAAUUAGGUAAAAAUAUGCUUAGAAAAAAGUGUGGAUAGACCUGUGACAAAAUGUUAACAAUGUUUGUUUGCCUUUUUGGCUGGUAGGA